rnacentral:rRNA from 1 species
UAUCUUCGGAUAGAGAGACCGGCGCACGGGUGCGUAACGCGUAUGCAAUCUACCUUUUACAGAGGGAUAGCCCAGAGAAAUUUGGAUUAAUACCUCAUAGUAUAAUGACUCGGCAUCGAGAUAUUAUUAAAGUCACAACGGUAAAAGAUGAGCAUGCGUCCCAUUAGCUAGUUGGUAAGGUAACGGCUUACCAAGGCUACGAUGGGUAGGGGUCCUGAGAGGGAGAUCCCCCACACUGGUACUGAGACACGGACCAGACUCCUACGGGAGGCAGCAGUGAGGAAUAUUGGACAAUGGGCGCAAGCCUGAUCCAGCCAUGCCGCGUGCAGGAUGACGGUCCUAUGGAUUGUAAACUGCUUUUAUACGAGAAGAAACACUGCUUCGUGAAGCAGCUUGACGGUAUCGUAAGAAUAAGGAUCGGCUAACUCCGUGCCAGCAGCCGCGGUAAUACGGAGGAUCCAAGCGUUAUCCGGAAUCAUUGGGUUUAAAGGGUCCGU